GGCGCGUCGGUCAUGAAGAUAGGGAAAAAUCAGGCCGCGAAGUUGUUUUCAAGGCGGGGCUUUGUGCGUCGCCUGGCAACGGAGUGGUUUUUCCACAGGCCGUGUGAGGCUGUCAACAUGGUCGCACUACAUAUGUAUUAAGCCUCAGUCGUCAGUUUUUCCGGAAGAGCAAAUGGUUUCCGGGUUUCUGUGUGGCGAAUUGGCGUCCAGGCUGUACCCUAUCGGGAACUUCCUGAACGGAGUGAGGGCCCCUAAUGAAAAUCACGAAAAUCAGAUCAGCGCAAGCCUCAUAGGACAUGUAUACGGAGUCUGUUUUGCCGGAAGAGCAAACGGU